UACGAAGGGUGCAAACGUUGCUCGGAAUCAUUGGGCGUAAAGCGCACGUAGGCGGCUUUGCAAGUCGGAUGUGAAAUCCCGGGGCUCAACCCCGGAACUGCAUUCGAUACUGCCUUGCUAGAGUACUGGAGAGGAGAUUGGAAUUUACGGUGUAGCAGUGAAAUGCGUAGAUAUCGUAAGGAAGACCAGUGGCGAAGGCGGAUCUCUGGACAGUUACUGACACUGAGGCACGAAGGCCAGGGGAGCAAACGGG
rnacentral:rRNA from 1 species